UGGGGAAUAUUGGACAAUGGGCGCAAGCCUGAUCCAGCCAUGCCGCGUGAGUGAUGACGGCCUUAGGGUUGUAAAGCUCUUUCGCACGCGACGAUAAUGACGGUAGCGUGAGAAGAAGCCCCGGCUAACUUCGUGCCAGCAGCCGCGGUAAUACGAAGGGGGCUAGCGUUGUUCGGAUUAACUGGGCGUAAAGGGUGCGUAGGCGGGGUUUUAAGUCAGGGGUGAAAUGCCGAGGCUCAACUUCGGAACUGCCUUUGAUACUGGAACUCUUGAGUCUGGGAGAGGUGAGUGGAACUGCGAGUGUAGAGGUGAAAUUCGUAGAUAUUCGCAAGAACACCAGUGGCGAAGGCGGCUCACUGGCCCGGAACUGACGCUGAGGCACGAAAGCGUGGGGAGCAAACAG
rnacentral:rRNA from 1 species